AUCUAGGGGAAGGAGUGAUUGU
rnacentral:miRNA from 1 species